rnacentral:rRNA from 1 species
CUAUGUCGGCGACCGGCGCACGGGUGCGUAACGCGUAUGCAACCUACCCAUUACAGGGGGAUAACACUGAGAAAUCGGUACUAAUACCCCAUAACAUCCAGGGAGGCAUCUUCUUGGGUUGAAAACUCCGGUGGUAAUGGAUGGGCAUGCGUUGUAUUAGUUAGUUGGUGGGGUAACGGCUCACCAAGACAACGAUACAUAGGGGGACUGAGAGGUUAACCCCCCACAUUGGUACUGAGACACGGACCAAACUCCUACGGAAGGCAGCAG